CCCUAGCCCAGAUGGAAGCGACAUCCUUUUUGUUUUUUCUUUAAAAACAAAAAGAUAUAGCAGACAGCAGGAAUAGCU
rnacentral:sRNA from 1 species